rnacentral:rRNA from 1 species
UAGGGAAUAUUGGGCAAUGGACGGAAGUCUGACCCAGCCAUGCCGCGUGCAGGAAGAAGGCGCUCAGCGUUGUAAACUGCUUUUAUCGGGGAAGAACGGCAGUCCCGCGGGACUGUGUGACGGUACUCGAGGAAUAAGCACCGGCUAACUCCGUGCCAGCAGCCGCUGUAAUACGGAGGGUGCGAGCGUUGUCCGGAUUUAUUGGGUUUAAAGGGUGCGUAGGUGGGUUAGUAAGUCAGUGGUGAAAUCUUCGAGCUUAACUCGGAAACUGCCAUUGAUACUAUAGGUCUUGAAUCAUCUGGAGGUAAGCGGAAUAUGUCAUGUAGCGGUGAAAUGCUUAGAUAUGACAUAGAACACCGAUUGCGAAGGCAGCUCACUACGGAUGUAUUGACACUGAGGCACGAAAGCGUGGGGAUCAAACA